UAAUUAAUUAAGGAUUAUAGUUUAAAAAACAUUUGAUUUGCAAUCAAAAAAUAUUGAUUUAUUCAAUUUAUCUUA
rnacentral:tRNA from 1 species